rnacentral:rRNA from 1 species
UGGGGAAUAUUGCACAAUGGGCGAAAGCCUGAUGCAGCGACGCCGCGUGAGGGAUGACGGCCUUCGGGUUGUAAACCUCUUUCAGUAGGGACGAAGCGCAAGUGACGGUACCUGCAGAAGAAGCACCGGCUAACUACGUGCCAGCAGCCGCGGUAAUACGUAGGGUGCGAGCGUUGUCCGGAAUUACUGGGCGUAAAGAGCUCGUAGGCGGUUUGUCACGUCGUCUGGUAAAUCCUAGGGCUUACCCCUGGACGUGCAGGCGAUACGGGAUGACUUGAGUACUACAGGGAAGACUGGAAUUUCUGGUGUAGCGGUGGAAUGCACAGAUGUCAGGAAGAACACCGAUGGCGAAGGCAGGUCUCUGGGUAGUAACUGACGCUGAGGAGCGAAAGCAUGGGUAGCGAACAGG